UUCCACCUACGGGGGGCAGCAGUGGGGAAUAUUGCGCAAUGGGCGAAAGCCUGACGCAGCGACGCCGCGUGAGGGAUGAAGGUCUUCGGAUCGUAAACCUCUGUCAGCAGGGAAGAACGGUCACUGUGCUAAUCAGCAGUGAAUUGACGGUACCUGCAAAGGAAGCACCGGCUAACUCCGUGCCAGCAGCCGCGGUAAUACGGAGGGUGCGAGCGUUAAUCGGAAUUACUGGGCGUAAAGCGCUCGUAGGCGGUAUGUAAAGUCAAGGGUGGAAUCCCCGCGCCCACCGUGGGACCUGCCUUUGA
rnacentral:rRNA from 1 species